AAAGCUCGUAGUUGGAUCUUGGGAUCGAGCUGGCGGUCCGCCGCGAGGCGAGCUACCGCCCGUCUCAGCCCCUGCCUCUCGGUGCCCCCUCGAUGCUCUUGGGUGAGUGUCCCGCGGGGUCCGAAGCGUUUACUUUGAAAAAAUUUGAGUGUUCAAAGCAGGCUGACUCCCCUGAAUACUUCAAGUAGGAAUAAUGGAAUUGGACUCCGGUUCUUUUUUGUGGGUUUCCCGAACCCGGGGCCAUGAUUGAGAGGGACGGCCGGGGGCAUUCGUACUGUGCCGCUAGAGGUGAAAUUCUUGGACCGGUGCAAG
rnacentral:rRNA from 1 species